UACGUAGGGUGCAAGCGUUAAUCGGAAUUACUGGGCGUAAAGCGUGCGCAGGCGGUUAUGUAAGACAGAUGCGAAAUCCCCGGGCUCAACCUGGGAACUGCAUUUGUGACUGCAUAGCUAGAGUACGGUAGAGGGGGAUGGAAUUCCGCGUGUAGCAGUGGAAUGCGUAGAUAUGCGGAGGAACACCGAUGGCGAAGGCAAUCCCCUGGACCUGUACUGACGCUCAUGCACGAAAGCGUGGGGAGCAAACAGG
rnacentral:rRNA from 1 species